rnacentral:rRNA from 1 species
AAAGAAACUAACAAGGAUUCCCCUAGUAACGGCGAGUGAAGAGGGAAGAGCUCAAAUUUUAAAUCUGCCUUGUUCCAAGGUCGAGUUGUAAUUUGAAGAAGCGUUUUCUUGGGCUCGCGGCCGGUAGAAGUUCUUUGGAACAGGACAUCAUAGAGGGUGACAAUCCCGUCCGUGACCGGUCGUGCGUUCAUCUACGAUACGCUUUCAAAGAGUCGAGUUGUUUGGGAUUGCAGCUCCAAAUGGGUGGUAAACAUCACCUAAGGCUAAAUAUUGGCGAGAAACCGAUAGCGAACAAGUACCGUGAGGGAAAGAUGAAAAGAACUUUGAAAAGAGAGUUAAACAGUACGUGAAAUUGUUGAAAGGGAAACGAUUGAAGUCAGUCGUGCUGGCGCGAAAUCAACCAUCUCGUCUUGAGGUCGCAUGGCGCGACGAGACUCAAAACCGUCACGAAGCGUGAACUCUUGACGAGAAGGUGCACUUUCGUGUCCGCUGGUUAACAUCAAUUUCGAUCGUCAUAAAAAGGCUGGAGGGAUGUGGCUCCUUCGGGAGUGUUAUAACCUUUAGCGGAAUGUGGUGGUCGGGAUUGAGGAUUGCAACGAAUACCUUCAGGGCUGUUCCACCUGGCUUCUCAUUGGUAUCCUGAUGACGACAGCUUGCUGACUUUGUUAGGAUUCGCCUCUGAACAGGCUAGAGUGUGAGCAAAUUCGUUAAGGAUGUUG